GAGCACGUAGGUGGGUUUGUAAGUCAGAUGUGAAAGCCUUCUGUUCAACGGAAGAAUUGCAUCUGAAACUGCGAAUCUUGAGUAUAGGAGGGGAGAAUGGAACUUCUGGUGGAGCGGUGAAAUGCGUAGAUAUCAGAAGGAACGCCGGCGGCGAAAGCGAUUCUCUGGCCUAUUACUGACACUCAGUGUGCGAAAGCUAGGGGAGCAAACGGGAUUAGAUACCCCGGUAGUCCUAGCCGUAAACGAUGGGCACUAAGUAGAGGGGU
rnacentral:rRNA from 1 species